rnacentral:rRNA from 1 species
CACGGGGGGAGCAAGCGUUGUUCGGAUUCAUUGGGCGUAAAGGGCUCGUAGGUGGCUUUGUAAGUCGGAGGUGAAAUCCCACGGCUCAACCGUGGACACGCCUUCGAAACUGUGAAGCUUGAGGCUGGGAGAGGAAAUCGGAAUUCCUGGUGUAGCGGUGAAAUGCGUAGAUAUCUGGAGGAACACCGGUGGCGAAGGCGGCAUCCUGGACCGGCAUUGACGCUGAGGCGCGAAAGCCAGGGGAGCAAACGGG